AUUUUCAUAUUACCUUUAACCAUAAAAAUCAGACGAUAAAUAACGUAAAUAUCAGACAAUGAUAAAACAUAACUGACUAACAUAAUUUCCGGAUUUAUUUCAGAUUUUGGUAGUAUUAAACUUCUAUGCAAGGGGUAGUUAUCAAGGUGCCGUAGGCCUCAACAGCGAUGUGACUCUGAUUGCCUUAUAUUGAGUAUUGAUGCAUCAUACACAUCAUCAUACAUUGGGCAUAUGGGCCCAACAUGAGAUAAAAGCUCACAUGGAAGAACUCUCAAUACAGGGAUAGACUACAUACCUACUGGGUGACUCAGGGUAUCCUCUCCGGUCAUUCAUGAUGACUCCAGUGGACCAUGCAGUAGACGACUCACCUGAAGGCCGCUACAAUAUAAUUCAGAAACGUGCCCGUUCCACUGUAGAGCGCACAUUUGGAAUACUAAAAGGGAGAUGGAGAUGCUUAUUAGCCGCCAGAGAAUUAAAUUACACUCCUGAGACCGCUGGCAAAAUUGCAAUUGCAUGCAGUGUAUUGCACAACAUUUGCAUACAUGCU